GACGAACGCUGGCGGCGUGCUUAACACAUGCAAGUCGAACGGAAAGGCCCUGCUUUUGUGGGGUGCUCGAGUGGCGAACGGGUGAGUAACACGUGAGUAACCUGCCCUUGACUUUGGGAUAACUUCAGGAAACUGGGGCUAAUACCGGAUAGGAGCUCCUGCUGCAUGGUGGGGGUUGGAAAGUUUCGGCGGUUGGGGAUGGACGCGCGGCUUAUCAGCUUGUUGGUGGGGUAGUGGCUGACCAAGGCUUUGACGGGUAGCCGGCCUGAGAGGGUGACCGGCCACAUUGGGACUGAGAUAGGGCCCAGACUGCUACGGGAGGCAGCAGUGGGGAAUCUUGCACAACGGGCGGAAGCCUGAUGCAGCAACGCCGCGUGCGGGAUGACGGCCUGCGGGUUGUAAACCGCUUUCGCCUGUGACGAAGCGUGAGUGACGGUAAUGGGUAAAGAAGCACCGGCUAACUACGUG
rnacentral:rRNA from 1 species